rnacentral:lncRNA from 1 species
GGCUUUGGAGACACCCACAAGCUUCCUCGACAUUAUCUGAGGCCGUAUGCAUGCGAACACCUCGAGCAGAGGGGGGACAAUGCAUGCAGAGAAGUCAACCGAAGAUGGGGCCUGCGCGAGAGGUCUCUGUGACAGAUAACAGAAGCUGUGAGUGCACAGAAGCAUCAAGAACCUCAGGCUAUCCGAUCUUGAUCCUGGUAGGUGAUGGAGAAGCCCGGGCCAUCGAUCUGGUGGAGUUUGACAUCGAGAAUGCAUGCGGACAUGAAGAGGGGGACUAGGAAAACCAUGGCCGCCAAUCUGGUGGAAAUCAGUGCCGAAAAUGUGUGGAUGC